rnacentral:rRNA from 1 species
AACGUAGGUACCGAGCGUUAUCCGGAUUUACUGGGCGUAAAGCGUGUGCAGGCGGUCGUGCAAGUCGGGCAUGAAAGCCCCUGGCUCAACUGGGGGAAGCUGUCUGAUACUGCAUGACUUGAGGGCUCGAGAGGGCGAUGGAAUUCCGCAUGUAGUGGUGAAAUGCGUAGAGAUGCGGAGGAACACCAGUGGCGAAAGCGGUCGCCUGGCGAGCCCCUGACGCUCAGACACGAAAGCUAGGGGAGCGAACGGG